CCUGGCUCAGGAUGAACGCUGGCGGCGUGCCUAAUACAUGCAAGUCGAGCGAACGGACGAGAAGCUUGCUUCUCUGAUGUUAGCGGCGGACGGGUGAGUAACACGUGGAUAACCUACCUAUAAGACUGGGAUAACUUCGGGAAACCGGAGCUAAUACCGGAUAAUAUUUUGAACCGCAUGGUUCAAAAGUGAAAGACGGUCUUGCUGUCACUUAUAGAUGGAUCCGCGCUGCAUUAGCUAGUUGGUAAGGUAACGGCUUACCAAGGCAACGAUGCAUAGCCGACCUGAGAGGGUGAUCGGCCACACUGGAACUGAGACACGGUCCAGACUCCUACGGGAGGCAGCAGUAGGGAAUCUUCCGCAAUGGGCGAAAGCCUGACGGAGCAACGCCGCGUGAGUGAUGAAGGUCUUCGGAUCGUAAAACUCUGUUAUUAGGGAAGAACAUAUGUGUAAGUAACUGUGCACAUCUUGACGGUACCUAAUCAGAAAGCCACGGCUAACUACGUGCCAGCAGCCGCGGUAAUACGUAGGUGGCAAGCGUUAUCCGGAAUUAUUGGGCGUAAAGCGCGCGUAGGCGGUUUUUUAAGUCUGAUGUGAAAGCCCACGGCUCAACCGUGGAGGGUCAUUGGAAACUGGAAAACUUGAGUGCAGAAGAGGAAAGUGGAAUUCCAUGUGUAGCGGUGAAAUGCGCAGAGAUAUGGAGGAACACCAGUGGCGAAGGCGACUUUCUGGUCUGUAACUG
rnacentral:rRNA from 1 species